rnacentral:rRNA from 1 species
AACGAACGCUGGCGGCAUGCCUAACACAUGCAAGUCGAACGAGACCUUCGGGUCUAGUGGCGCACGGGUGCGUAACGCGUGGGAAUCUGCCCCUUGGUUCGGAAUAAACAGCGAGAAAUUGCUGCUAAUACCGGAUAAUGACGUAAGUCCAAAGAUUUAUCGCCAAGGGAUGAGCCCGCGUAGGAUUAGCUAGUUGGUGUGGUAAAAGGCGCACCAAAGGCGACGAUCCUUAGCUGGUCUGAGAGGAUGAUCAGCCACACUGGGACUGAGACACGGCCCAG